AUUGAACGCUGGCGGCAGGCCUAACACAUGCGAGUCGAACGGUAACAGGAAGAAGCUUGCUUCUUUGCUGACGAGUGGCGGACGGGUGAGUAAUGUCUGGGAAACUGCCUGAUGGAGGGGGAUAACUACUGGAAACGGUAGCUAAUACCGCAUAAUGUCGCAAGACCAAAGAGGGGGACCUUCGGGCCUCUUGCCAUCGGAUGUGCCCAGAUGGGAUUAGCUAGUAGGUGGGGUAACGGCUCACCUAGGCGACGAUCCCUAGCUGGUCUGAGAGGAUGACCAGCCACACUGGAACUGAGACACGGUCCAGACUCCUACGGGAGGCAGCAGUGGGGAAUAUUGCACAAUGGGCGCAAGCCUGAUGCAGCUAUGCCGCGUGUAUGAAGAAGGCCUUCGGGUUGUAAAGUACUUUCAGCGGGGAGGAAGGGAGUAAAGUUAAUACCUUUGCUCAUUGACGUUACCCGCAGAAGAAGCACCGGCUAACUCCGUG
rnacentral:rRNA from 1 species